rnacentral:rRNA from 1 species
CUUGGAAAGUGUUGGUAUGGAGGGCAACCGUGGAUACGACUAGCCAUGGAAAGUGAAAGUAUGGUGGAAAAAUGAAUAAACUUUAUUUUCUGUUUGGGAACCGCCUAUGAUAUAUCUAUGCAUGGAAAGUAUUGGGAACUCUAAGUCGUUUUCGUUGGUGGGAUGGAUACACCUCCCAAAAUGUUUUUAUCUCUAAGUUUUUCGCUUUGAGCUCUGGCACCUCUACAAAUCCCUACUUCCCUCUGCGAAGG